UGAGAAUAAUGUUUUUAUGGCGUAUGGACUAUGGUCUGCCGAUUAAAUAUGCCAACGAACUAAAUUUCGAUUAGAAAUAAUCGAAAACGUCUUCCUUUGUCAAUGUCAAAGAUAGUAGAUUUGAAUAACCAGUUUCACUUCUGAGGAAUAGCAAAAACUGUGAGUCAUCUGUUAGACAUGCCGAGCAGUGAACAGGUACAGACUAUUUACGGGAUACCGAUGAGGCAACAAAACCUUACCCGUUUCAAGAUCAAGAAGAAUGGUGAAACCACCACACAGAUAUCCAUACAAAUCUGUCGAAGCUCAGGAAAAAACAAUUUUUUUGGGAAGAACACUCCAGUGAAAGGCUGCCACUGUCAUUUGAUGGGGUACCAUUCAUGAUCCUAGGUAGGGAGGUGCGGGAAUGCUGCCAUGGUCCGGACAGGCACCGAGCAGAGAAAAUAAAGGCAGCCCAAACAAGGAAUUUAGGAAAGGCUGACCAUGCGUAUAGUGCACAAGGGCGGAAAUUAAUCCAGACAACAACAAAAAUGAAUUGUCCAGCUGCUAUUCAUGUGAGGUCCAUUUUGCGUUUCCCAUCUUAUAAGACUGAACACAACUCUGAAUGGGCCAGAAGAAAAC